rnacentral:rRNA from 1 species
UACGUAGGGUGCGAGCGUUAAUCGGAAUUACUGGGCGUAAAGCGUGCGCAGGCGGUCUGUUAAGACCGAUGUGAAAUCCCCGGGCUUAACCUGGGAACUGCAUUGGUGACUGGCAGGCUUUGAGUGUGGCAGAGGGAGGUAGAAUUCCACGUGUAGCAGUGAAAUGCGUAGAGAUGUGGGAGGAAUACCGAUGGCGAAGGCAGCCUCCUGGGCCAACACUGACGCUCAUGCACGAAAGCGUGGGGAGCAAACAGG